rnacentral:rRNA from 1 species
GGAGCCUGAGAAACGGCUACCACAUCCAAGGAUGGCAGCAGGCGCGCAAAUUACCCAAUCCCGACACGGGGAGGUAGUGACAAUAAAUAACAAUACGGGGUUCUUUUGGAUCUCGUAAUUGGAAUGAGUACAAUUUAAAUCUCUUAACGAGGAACAAUUGGAGGGCAAGUCUGGUGCCAGCAGCCGCGGUAAUUCCAGCUCCAAUAGCGUAUAUAAAAGUUGUUGCAGUUAAAAAGCUCGUAGUUGAAUUUCGGGGUUAGUAGGUUGGUCAUGCCUCUGGUAUGUACUGGUCUCACUGAUUCCUCCUUCCUUAUGAACCGUAAUGCCAUUAAUUUGGUGUUGCGGGGAAUUUGGACUGUUACUUUGAAAAAAUUAGAGUGUUUAAAGCAAGCUAACGCUUGAAUACAUUAGCAUGGAAUAAUGAAAUAGGACGUUCGAUCUUAUUUUGUUGGUUUCUAGGAUUGACGUAAUGAUUAAUAGGGAUAGUUGGGGGCAUUAGUAUUCAAUUGUCAGAGGUGAAAUUCUUGGAUUUAUUGAAGACUAACUACUGCGAAAGCAUUUGCCAAGGAUGUUUUCAUUAAUCAAGAACGAAAGUUAGGGGAUCGAAGACGAUCAGAUACCGUCGUAGUCUUAACCAUAAACUAUGCCGACUAGGGAUCGGAUGAUGUUAAUUUUUUAAUGACUCAUUCGGCGCCUUACGG